rnacentral:lncRNA from 1 species
AUGCACCACACACAACCCCACACACACACACACACCCACACACACACCACACACACACAACCCCCCACACACACACACACAUCCCUACACACACCACACACUCAUCCCCACACACACAUCCCCACACACACACACCACACACCCCCACACACACACACCACACACACACACACCCCCCACCACACACACACACACCACACACACACACACAACCCCCCCCCACACACACCACACACACACACACACACACACAUGCACCACACACACACACAUGCACCACACACACAUGCACCACAUACACACACACCCCCACACACACACACACACCACCCCCACACCACACACACACCUCACACACCACAUCCCACACACACCACCACAUCCCCACACACACACACACCACACACACAUACAUGUAAUCUACACACACACAUGCACCACACUACUACCACUGCACCACACACAACCCCACACACACACACACACACAACCCCCCACACACCACACACACACACACACACACACAACCUCUCAUUACCACACACAACCCCCACACACACCACACACACAACCCCCCACACACACAACCCCCACACACCACACACACACAUGCACCACACACACACACACAACCCCCACACACAACCCCCACACACACAACCCCCCACACACCACACACACACACACACACCCCCACACACACACACAACCCCCCACACACACCACACACACACACACACAUGCACCACACACACACACACACAACCCCCCACACACACACAACCCCACACACACACACACACAACCCUAAUACCACACACCACACACACACAUGCACCAUUACACACACACACAACUCCCCACACACACACACAACCCCCAUUACCACACACCACACACACACACAUGUACCCACACACACACACACACCCCACACACACACACACCCCCACACACACACCCCCAUUACCACAUACAACUCCCCACACAUUACUCAUUCACACACACACAUGCACCACACACACACAUGCACCCACACACACCCCUACACACACACACUCUCAUACACACACCACACACACAUCCCCACACACACACACCACACACACACAUGCACCACACACAACCCCACACACACACACAACCCCAUUAAUACCACACACAACCCCACACACACACAACUCCCCACACACACACACUAACCCCCCACACACCACACACACACACACACACACCCCUCACACACACACACCACACACACACACACAACCCCCCACACACACACACACACAACUCCCCCACACACACACACAACCCCCCACACACACACAACCCCCCACACACCACACACACACACACACACACACAACCCCACACACACACCACCACACACACACACACACAACCCCACACACACACACACAACCCCACACACACACACACAACCCCCACACACACCACACACACAACCCCCCCCACACACACACACAAUUUCACACACACCACACACACACAUGUAAUCACACACACACACACAUAACCUCUAUAAUACCACAACCCCCACACACACCUCACACACACACAUGUACCCUACACACACACACACAUAACUCUCUCUAUUACCAUACAACUCUCUACACACACACCACACACACACAUAUGCAAUCUUCAUACACACACACAAUUCCCCCACACACACAACUCCCCACACACACACAUACAACCCCCCACACACACCCACACACACACACAUCCCACACCCUGUACUACCACAACCCCCCCCCACACACACACAACCCCCCACACACACACGCACUCACACACACCACACACAUGCACCCUAAUACCACACACCCCCACUACCACACACACACACACCCCACACACCCACACACACACAUCCCCACACACACAUCCCCCACACACACACACACCCACACACACAUGCACCACACAACCCCACACACACACACACACAAACCCCCCACACACACACAACCCCCACACACACCACAUUACACACACAUACACACCCCCACUCAUUCACACACACACACAACCCCACACACAAUAACCCCACACACACAACCCCACACACACACACAACCCCCACACACACCACACACACACACAACCCCCACACACACACACAACCCCCCACACACACACCACACACACAACCCCCACACGCAUUCACACACACACACAUGCACCACACACACACAACCCCACACACACAACCUGCCACACCACACACACACACAACCCCACACACACACAACCCUACACACACACACACAAAUCCCACACACACACACACACAACCCUCCCCACACGCACCACACACACACAACCCCCCUGCACACACACAACCCCCCACACACACCCCACACACACACCACACACACACCCCACACACACACACACCACACACACACCCCACACACACACCCCACACACACCCCACACACACACACACACCCCACACACACACCCCACACACACACCCCACACACACACACCACACACACACACCACACACACACCCCCACACACACACACACCACACACACACACCCCACACACACACCACACACACACAAUUCCCACACACCCCACACACACACCACACACACAUCCCCACACCCCACACAAAUCCCCACACGCCAAAGCCAAACACCAGCAACCUUCCCAAGGUUGUGUGUGUGUGUUUGCGUUUGA